CGUACGCUUCUUUUUCCACCGGAGCUUGCUCCACCGGAAAAAGAAGAGUGGCGAACGGGUGAGUAACACGUGGGUAACCUGCCCAUCAGAAGGGGAUAACACUUGGAAACAGGUGCUAAUACCGUAUAACAAUCGAAACCGCAUGGUUUUGAUUUGAAAGGCGCUUUCGGGUGUCGCUGAUGGAUGGACCCGCGGUGCAUUAGCUAGUUGGUGAGGUAACGGCUCACCAAGGCCACGAUGCAUAGCCGACCUGAGAGGGUGAUCGGCCACAUUGGGACUGAGACACGGCCCAAACUCCUACGGGAGGCAGCAGUAGGGAAUCUUCGGCAAUGGACGAAAGUCUGACCGAGCAACGCCGCGUGAGUGAAGAAGGUUUUCGGAUCGUAAAACUCUGUUGUUAGAGAAGAACAAGGAUGAGAGUAACUGUUCAUCCCUUGACGGUAUCUAACCAGAAAGCCACGGCUAACUACGUGCCAGCAGCCGCGGUAAUACGUAGGUGGCAAGCGUUGUCCGGAUUUAUUGGGCGUAAAGCGAGCGCAGGCGGUUUCUUAAGUCUGAUGUGAAAGCCCCCGGCUCAACCGGGGAGGGUCAUUGGAAACUGGGAGACUUGAGUGCAGAAGAGGAGAGUGGAAUUCCAUGUGUAGCGGUGAAAUGCGUAGAUAUAUGGAGGAACACCAGUGGCGAAGGCGGCUCUCUGGUCUGUAACUGACGCUGA
rnacentral:rRNA from 1 species